rnacentral:misc_RNA from 1 species
GGCCCGCUCCGGGCCCAACCUCCCACCCGUGUCUCUUGCGUACUUUGUUGCUUUGGCGGGCCCACUGGGUCACUCCGGUCGCCGGGGAGCGCUAUGCUCCCGGGCCCGUGCCCGCCAGAGCACCCCUGUGAACCCUGAUGAAGAGAGGCUGUCUGAGUCCCACGAUAAUCGUUAAAACUUUCAACAAUGGAUCUCUUGGUUCCGGCAUCGAUGAAGAACGCAGCGAAAUGCGAUAAGUAAUGUGAAUUGCAGAAUUCCGUGAAUCAUCGAAUCUUUGAACGCACAUUGCGCCCCCUGGCAUUCCGGGGGGCAUGCCUGUCCGAGCGUCAUUUCUGCCCUCAAGCGCGGCUUGUGUGUUGGGCGUGGUCCCCCUGGUUUUGGCGGGGACCUGCCCGAAAGGCAGCGGCGACGUCCCGCCUAGUCCUCGAGCGUAUGGGGCUCUGUCACGCGCUCGGGAGGGACUGGUGGGCGUUGGUCACCCCUUAUUCUUUCUACGGUUGACCUCGGAUCA